AUGAACGCUGGCGGCGUGCCUCAUACAUGCAAGUCGAGCGAACAGACGAGGAGCUUGCUCCUCUAACGUUAGCGGCGGACGGGCGAGUAACACGUGGAUAACCUACCUAUAAGACUGGGAUAACUUCGGGAAACCGGAGCUAAUACCGGAUAAUAUAUUGAACCGCAUGGUUCAAUAGUGAAAGACGGUUUUGCUGUCACUUAUAGAUGGAUCCGCGCCGCAUUAGCUAGUUGGUAAGGUAACAGCUUACCAAGGCAACGAUGCGUAGCCGACCUGAGAGGGUGAUCGGCCACACUGGAACUGAGACACGGUCCAGACUCCUACGGGAGGCAGCAGUAGGGAAUCUUCCGCAAUGGGCGAAAGCCUGACGGAGCAACGCCGCGUGAGUGAUGAAGGUCUUCGGAUCGUAAAACUCUGUUAUUAGGGAAGAACAAAUGUGUAAGUAACUAUGCACGUCUUGACGGUACCUAAUCAGAAAGCCACGGCUAACUACGUG
rnacentral:rRNA from 1 species